rnacentral:rRNA from 1 species
UCCUACGGGGGGCAGCAGUGGGGAAUAUUGGACAAUGGGGGAAACCCUGAUCCAGCGACGCCGCGUGAGUGAAGAAGUAUUUCGGUAUGUAAAGCUCUAUCAGCAGGGAAGAAAAUGACGGUACCUGACUAAGAAGCCCCGGCUAACUACGUGCCAGCAGCCGCGGUAAUACGUAGGGGGCAAGCGUUAUCCGGAUUUAUUGGGUUUAAAGGGUGCGCAGGCGGAAUGUCAGGUCAGCAGUAAAAUUUCGGGGCUCAACCCCGUCGUGCCGUUGAAACUGGCGUUCUUGAGUGAGCGAGAAGUAU